rfam:Mucispirillum schaedleri ASF457 genomic scaffold acYAd-supercont1.1, whole genome shotgun sequence.
CUGCUUGAACAAAAAAUAUUUUUCUGCUAAAAAAUAAUUAGAGAUAAGCGGAAGCAGGUGAGAUACCUGCACUGCCCCCGCAACUGUAUGCUGGACAAAGCCCAUUAUGCCACUGAUAUUCGGGAAGGCGGGUAGAGGUUGAAAGCAAGUCAGGAUAUGCUUACUCAAUUUAUUCUUC